AGCACCCUGGGCUAGUGGAAGGUGUUCCUGCCAUGGCAGGGGAUGGAAUGAGAUCCCCUUAAAGAUCCCUUCCCACCCAAGCCAUGCCAUGGUUCUAUGGAUAAUCCUGUACCUUCCACCUGAUGCCCCAAAAUCCCCUGGGAGGGAAGGGCUGUGGAGGGCGUUUGGUUCUGUGGGGUGAUGAUCUCAGUGGUCACUUGGUGAUAAAUAAUUCACUCCUUCAGAUUCUCUGCCCUUGGUGGUCGUAGUUUUUGUCAUCUCAUAUUCUCAGCCCUUUGCACUAAUUAAUCCUUAUUUUUUUAAAAAAACUAGAGUGAUGUAGAAGCUCCACUUCAGCUCACCCUUCCCUUACCAGUGUGCCUUCUCACCCAGCCUGAAGCUGGAAGCAGUCACAGCUUUGCCUCCUCAUCUCAUGACCAAAAAAACCCCAAACAAGGCGGGAGGCUCAGACUUUCACACACCCCAAGGCCGACACUUCCGUGGUGAGCGGGGCUGCUGCUGCUCCGUGGGCCGCCCCGGGCAGGGGGUGCACAGGAAGGGCUCUGUGCUUAUCAGAUCCAUCUGUGCCUCACCUUGAGCUGCCUCCCCGUGGGGAGGAGCCCUCCUGCUCCCCUCACCGCUCCUGUGCUGUGGCAGGGCACUGCUGGAUCCCUGGAGGAUGCUCCAAAGCCACAGCUUCUCUUCCCUCCCAUCUCCAAGGGUUUGCCAUGGUGAGGCUGCUCUGGUGCAGGUGGCUGAGCACAGCUCACCCCGGGAUUGCUGCCUGCUGGGGCCUUUCUCAGGCCCUGUUCUCCCCCUGAAUUGAGACCCUUGAUUGAGGGAAAAUCAAACCUGUGGCUGGCUGAGGGAAAAGUCAGCUCCAGAUCUUCACAGCCUUCAGAAUCCCCGAAUGGUUUGGGCUGGAAGGAACCGUAAAGCCCAAGUUCCAGCCCCCUGCCAGUUCACCUCCCACUAGACCAGGUCUCUAGACCAGAAACACUUUAUGUUUCACCAAUAAAUAUCCCAUUUGCAGAUCUACUGGAUAACAGCUGUAUCCUUUUGCAGACCCCUAUAUCCCAAUAUUUGUUGUUUCUCAGUGGAGCUGAUGGUUUCUUUCCACAAAACCCUUCAUUCUGCUUUCAGUAUAAUUUGAUUUUCUUGAUUUUUUUUGUGUUUUCAUUUAUAUUUUCUUUUUAAAAACCAACCAAAACCCUCUUGUGCUUGAAGGCAAGAUGUAUCCUCGCUGCAGAGCUGGGAUUACAGCAGAGCACAGUGAUGAUUUGAACCAGAUCUCACCAGGGAUUUGAAGUCCCAUUAGAGACUCUUGGGCUGGGGCAGACGAGCCCAGAGGGAGAAAUUUUGGGUGAAGGAACUCAAGGAGCAGCAUGACAUCAAUGUGGGCAGUGCUGCUGUUCUUUUUGGGUUUGGGAUGGUGCUGUUUUAGGACUUUUAGGCUGUUGAGCAGCAGGAACAGCCUGGGCUGUGGGCUUUGAUGGUUUGUGUUGAUUCAAAUAAGAAAUCUCUCAUUCAAACACAACCUCACAACUCUGAGUUUCAGCUUCUGUUUCACUCAGGUCUCCUGGGAACUUUCUCUGGAGCUGUGCAGAUGUUUGUAUGACCACAGGGAGUACCCUGCCCUUAAAUACCCAGUGUGCUGUGACUGUGGAUUGGUCCCAGAUAAUGGCACUGCUCACAGGACUGGUGAUCUGACAGCACAUGAGGGAAACGAGUCAGCCAAAACAAGAGCUUGGGUGGGUUAAAUUCUUUAAAAUAAGGUUUUUCCCUUGGGACUUGUGGGAAUCCAAGUGGGGAGGCAAAGCUGGACGUUGUGGGUGGUAAAAGCCAUGACCUUCCAUGAGCUGGAGCCUCACCAAGAUAUUCCCUUUUCACAGCCCUGUUGGGCCCCUGGGAAAAUGGGAGAUGAGUUAAGAGAGUGGUUCCUUCUCACAAUUCCUUAUGGCACUCAGCCACAUCACUGUGUUCAUCCUGCCUUUGCUGGUUGCUUGGACUUCUCAUUUUCUUCCCUGAAUUUGUGGGGGAAAAAAGUAAACUUGAGCAAAAAUGGUGUUGAAAAUUAUUACCUUGACGAUUGUAGCUCAGCCUCGUGGUGAGCAUGGAGGUGGUCCAUGGUGACCUGACCUCCAAGGAGCUUCCUUCUCCUCCCUUUAACCUCAUGGUGGCACCUCUGGGUAGCCCAGAGCAAACACUGGCCCUGGUGGGGUCAGUGUGACCUGAGAGACAGAAACAGAGCUGGAAGGAGGAACCAGAACCAGGUCUUCACCUCUGAGGCAAUGACAUUAGUACAUUUUAUCUCUAUUAUUUUGUGCUCAUGGCUUUACAUAACCAAACCUUUUUUCUAAAUCAGAUUUUCUGGCCACAGCUGUAGAUCAUGUAGGUCAAAUUCUCAGAGUUUAUCACCCCAAAGGCUGCAGCUCCUCUGCCCUGACUUAACUGGCAGCAUGAACCAAGCACUACCCUGAUGGAUCUAGCUUAUUUUUGGUCAUGAUGUUUGUCCAAACAUCUCUGACAAGAUUUUAGCUUUUUAUUUUUGUGUUGAAUGGGGUGGGAUCAUAUUUGGGUCACUCUCUGGAGGUUGUUUUUAGUUACUGAGGUCUGAGGAGCAGAGUCCAGCAGUGCCAGGGGUGCUCUGUGUGUGCAUUUACACCCCGGGAGCUGGGGCUGAGGCUCGUUUUUAACAGCAAAGUGAAAAAGGAAGUAAAAAGUGCAGUAAAAUGUGUCAAAGCUGCCUUAACCCCAGCAGGAAAAUCUAAUGAGUUACAGAGAAAUGGGGACUCUGCUCAGGAUGUUGAGCAACCGUGUGACAAAACAGCAAAUAAAACGGUGCUGGUAAAAGAAAAGAUGAGUGAGAAGACAAAAAUUCUGCUUUGGAGCUGAAAGUGACUCUGGGGGGGUUGGACAGGGCCACCCUGGUCCCCUUCCAUGGUGGCCAGAAAGGACAGGGAUGGGCUGGAUUCCUGCAGCUGGAGGAAUUCCCGUUAUCCUGGGAAAUCUGUCCCUUUGACUUCUGUCCCCAGUGCAAGAAGAAGAGUAAAAUAAUUUCAGAGAAGCAUCUAAAAUGUUCUAAAGGCCCUCAAGAGGCAUCAAAUCCAGGUGCUGCCACAUGUUUGUGUGUAUUGGUGAUGCAGGGGGGAGAAAAGGCCAAGAAUCAGAUUUAAAAAACAUUUUUAGAAAUGAUUGUUUUAUUAUAUACAACAGGAAGUAUAAAAAUAAAUAUUUUUUUUUGGUCACUGUGAA